CGGCUGGGCGGCUAGUUCAAGUUGCCAUAGCUGCGAGUCUGGGGAGAGCAGAGUCAGUUGCGCCGCAGCGUUUGGUCAGUUACAUCUUCUGGGUCACUGGUAGCCGCGGGAGCCGGGUGGGUCCUCGGCGAUGAUCCGGCAUUAAGGACCUGGAAUCAUCUCUGUCUCAGGUGGCUUGGGGAAAAUACAAGGGCACCCAAAGAUCAUCUACUGACUAAACCUUUUGCCCUGAACUUCAUGAAGAAAUGAUAGGAGGCAGACAUAUGUGCCUUAGAAGAGCACUGAGCUCAGAGGAGAGCAAUAAGAAGUUUUGGGGGUGUGCUUUGUAAGUAUGCAUUCUCCCUUAGUUUCAUUUCUGAGAUAACAAGUUAUUGCA
rnacentral:lncRNA from 1 species